GAUGAACGCUGGCGGCGUGCCUAAUACAUGCAAGUCGAGCGAACAGACGAGGAGCUUGCUCCUCUGACGUUAGCGGCGGACGGGUGAGUAACACGUGGAUAACCUACCUAUAAGACUGGGAUAACUUCGGGAAACCGGAGCUAAUACCGGAUAAUAUAUUGAACCGCAUGGUUCAAUAGUGAAAGACGGUUUUGCUGUCACUUAUAGAUGGAUCCGCGCCGCAUUAGCUAGUUGGUAAGGUAACGGCUUACCAAGGCAACGAUGCGUAGCCGACCUGAGAGGGUGAUCGGCCACACUGGAACUGAGACACGGUCCAGACUACUACGGGAGGCAGCAGUAGGGAAUCUUCCGCAAUGGGCGAAAGCUUGACGGAGCAACGCCGCGUGAGUGAUGAAGGUCUUCGGAUCGUAAAACUCUGUUAUUAGGGAAGAACAAAUGUGUAAGUAACUAUGCACGUCUUGACGGUACCUAAUCAGAAGGCCACGGCUAACUACGUG
rnacentral:rRNA from 1 species